GUUCGGGGAAAAGAAAAGGUGGAGGCACAUGAAAAUAUUCCCUUUCUUAUCCCUACAUCUAAAGAUUUCCAUUGAUUUCACUAUCAUUUUAUCUGCCGAUUUCAAUGUUUUCAUGUUACUUUUCAGCGAACUACAACAUUAUUCAGGAAAGAUAGUCGUCAACUGCCAUAGUUCGACCGGAGAAAUCAAAUACCAAGUGCCUAGCAGUUAUUUUGUAUGCAUGUGAUCCUUGCACAUCUCUUGAUGGCGAUGUUUCUUGGUUGCUGUCAUAAGCUGUUUAUUUGACACCUCGGAGGUCUGAAGCACCUCGGCAAAAAGGAGCCGUCCACUGAGCCUUUUGUCCCCGGACCAGACAUGCAGAUGAGUGGUAAGUAACCAACCUGAAUGACAGGAGGAUCAUUGUGGGGGCAAUCGCCAGGAGGCAAUUAGAUAUUCGGAUCAUGGCAUCAAGACUUUGCAAUGCUGCAGCGGAUCUCCAUGGAUCAAGGUGUCGCCACUUGAUUGAGUACGAGUCAGAAUCCAAACGCACAAGAUGAUAGAUAAUAAUACUGUAAUCAAAGUUGUUAUCAAUGUGGGGGCUAGUUUCCGUGUGGUUUUGGGCUAGUUUUUUUUUUCCGUGUGGAAUUGGAAUUGGGCAGUCAACGCCACGAGAUUUGGAAAUAUCACACUUUUUUUUUAUUUGUU